AAUUUUGAUCUUGAUCUCCUCUGGUCCAAUGGUUGGACAGGGUGUUCCUCAUGUCACUCAUAAUUAUACAAAGUCAUCUGGCCUCUAUAGGAAGAUCCACACGAAGAUUGGCACAGAUCAGAGGCUCGGAGAUGCUAGUCUGCGAACAACUUCGAUAGCUGAUCUCUUUCUUCUUCUACAAGUACCUUGGACACUCCAAAGUAAUAGGAGAUCUGG
rnacentral:lncRNA from 1 species